rnacentral:tRNA from 1 species
GUCCCUGUAGCUCAACGGAUAGAGCAGUCGCGUCCUAAGCGAUCGAUGGAGGUUCGACUCCUCUCGGGGAUG